CAGGGAGGAAUAAAUGACGUGUACCUGAAGAAUAAGCAUCGGCUAACUCCGUGCCAGCAGCCGCGGUAAGACGGAGGAUGCAAGUGUUAUCCGGAAUCACUGGGCGUAAAGCGUCUGUAGGUGGUUUAAUAAGUCAACUGUUAAAUCUUGAAGCUCAACUUCAAAAUCGCAGUCGAAACUAUUAGACUAGAGUAUAGUAGGGGUAAAGGGAAUUUCCAGUGGAGCGGUGAAAUGCGUAGAUAUUGGGAAGAACACCGAUGGCGAAGGCACUUUACUGGGCUAUUACUGACACUCAGAGACGAAAGCUAGGGUAGCAAAUGGGAUUAGAUACCCCAGUAGUCCUAGCUGUAAACCAUGGAUACUAGAUGUUGA
rnacentral:rRNA from 1 species